UCCAGACUCCUACGGGAGGCAGCAGUGGGGAAUAUUGCACAAUGGGGGAAACCCUGAUGCAGCGACGCCGCGUGAAGGAAGAAGUAUUUCGGUAUGUAAACUUCUAUCAGCAGGGAAGAAAAUGACGGUACCUGACUAAGAAGCCCCGGCUAACUACGUGCCAGCAGCCGCGGUAAUACGUAGGGGGCAAGCGUUAUCCGGAUUUACUGGGUGUAAAGGGAGCGUAGACGGCAUGGCAAGUCAGAUGUGAAAGCCCGGGGCUCAACCCCGGGACUGCAUUUGAAACUGUCAGGCUGGAGUGCAGGAGAGGUAAGUGGAAUUCCUAGUGUAGCGGUGAAAUGCGUAGAUAUUAGGAGGAACACCAGUGGCGAAGGCGGCUUACUGGACUGUAACUGACGUUGAGGCUCGAAAGCGUGGGGAGCAAACAGGAUUAGAUACCCGUGUAC
rnacentral:rRNA from 1 species